GCCCAGACCUGGUGGUGCCUCAGUCAGGGUGGCCCACAGGCCCGGCCCUAAUCUCCUACGUCUCGAAGUCUACGUGCCCCUCGUCUGGAGAAGCAGAAGCGCGGACGCCGGAAAGAGCCGCUGCUGGCCGUGGGGAAGAAAGUUCUCUCUUCAUCCUCGGCCUGGGCCGCCCAAGUAAGGGUCUUUGAAGAAUGUGCAAAAUGUGGAAAUGCUACACCUCUGAGGGCAACAACGUUUGGUUCCUUGCCUAAGGAGAGAAACAGCCCUUCCCUGAGGUGUUGGAUGAACCACAGCUUCAUCAUUUGAAUCCCAGCAAGAGCAAAAGGAAGAAAAUAAACCAGUCACUAUCUCAAAGAUGCUGUCCUGCCAUGUAAGUAAGCAUUCCUUUUCCUGGAGUGCUGAAAAGAGAGGCUAAGAGGCCAGA